GCAUCUUCAUCAUAGAAGAGUGAUCUUCAUCUUGGCGACCUUGCCGUUGCCCGGCCUUGCCUUGCCGUGGAUUGUUGUUUGUAUUUUGUAUUAUUUGUGCUUUUUAAGAAUAUUUUUUUAAUUCGGAUACUUUUAUAAUAGCUUUAAUAGUAUUAUUAACAUAGUGCAUAAAAUGGUGUCCUGUUUUUAACGCAGUUGGAGUAGCAGAAACAAAUGUAGAUAAAAAAAUCUGCAGGAAUAACGUUUCAAUUAUGACAGAAGCUCAAAACAAAUGACUGUGAAUGAAAAGCCCUAUUAAAAGCUUUCCAGAAGAUCCUGCGAAGAAGACAAGAAAGUAUAGAUUAGAUUUGUUAAUAGAGGAGUAUGUUCAAAACACUUUUUAGAAAAAGAUAUUGACAGAACUUCACUUUCAUCUGUUCGUUUGAGAGACUGUGCUGUUCCAAUAGCUUAUGUCACACAGAAUCAGCUGAGAGAAGUGGUCUACAAAAAACCAGAAAGGAAACGGAAUAUGUGGCUACGAAAAGCAAAAGAAAGGUUUACAAAGCAAAUGUGACACAUUUUUUAAUAAUAUUUAGGAAUGUCAGCAAAUUACAUUAAAAAAUGUAUGUAAAGAUUUUUUGCAAUAAAAAUGUUUAUAUUUA